rnacentral:lncRNA from 1 species
CACUAUGCUGUUAACCCAACAGUAUAAUUAUUACCAUCUGAUAGGUGCAAUCUUGAGUAAGGGGAAUAAUUUAAUGUCCAUGUUAGAAUAACCUGCUAUUCCAUACUCAAAACUGGUAUUACGUUAAUACUCAUUUUUCUUUAGUAAAAAAAUUAAAGAUUACAAAGUUUCAAAAAAUGCAAAAUUCACAUUUUCUGUGAAACAAACCUUUAAUAACCAUCAGAAAGUUUUGUUCUUCUGAUACAAUGACUAAUUUAAAAGUUGUUCUUUAUCCAGUUUGCAAAAAUGGAACUAAAAAACAGGCAUUUAUAAUAAGCUUUAAGAUGUGAUUAAAGGCUCUGCCACAAUCUUUAUACCUGUAUAGCCUUUUUCCCAUGUGAAUUCUCUAGCGUCCAGUAAAGGUUGAAAUUUCAUCAAAGGCUUUGCCAUACGUAUUACAUUUCUAGUGUUUCUAAUACAUAUUCUAUGCUCUAGUUCUGCCACAACCAUUACAUUUGCAUUUCAAUCAAGUAUGAAUUUUCUGGUGUCGAGUAAGACUUGAACUUAGAUUAAAGGCUUUGCCACAUCUGGUACAUUUGUAGGGUUUCUCUCCAGUAUGAAUUCUCUGGUGCUGAGUAAGUGUGGAACUUCGAUCAAAGGCUUUGCCACACUCUUUACAUUUGUAGGGUUUCUCUCCAGUAUGAAUUCUUUGGUGUUGAUUAAGGGCUGAAUUUUGAUAAAAGACUCUGCCACAAUCUUUACAUUUGUAGGGUUUCUCUCCAGUAUGAAUUUUCUGGUGUUGAUUAAGGGCUGAGUUUUGAUAAAAGACUUUGCCACAAUCUUUACAUUGGAAGGGUUUCUCUCCAGUAUGAAUUUUCUGGUGCUUGGUAAGAUUUGACCGCUGAUUAAAAGCUUUGCCACAUUCUUUACACUGGAAUGGUUUCUCUCCAGUAUGAAUUCUCUGAUGUUGAUUAAUAGUUGAGGAAUAUGUAAAAGCUUUGCCACACUGUUCACAUUUGUAAGGCUUCUCUCCAGUAUGAAUUCUCUGGUGUCGAGUCAGUGUUGAGCAAUAUUUAAAGACUCUGUCACAAUCUUUACAUUUGUAAAGUUUCUUAAGGGUUGAGCUCUGAUGAAAGGUUUUGUCACAUUCUUUACAUUUCCUGUGUUUCUCUCCAGUAUGAAUUCUCUGGUGUUUAUGAAGGGCAGAAUCAUUAGCAAAUGCUAAGUCUAUAGACUUAGAAAGGUUGUGUUGAAUAUGGAUACUUUGAUGAAUAGUAAGUUCUGAGCACUGGUCAAAGACUUUGCAACAUUUAUCACACUUGUAAAUGUUUUUUUGAAAAUGUGUACACUGAUUCUUACUAGGGUUUGAGUCAUGGUUUACGAUUUUAUAAAUUUCUUUACAUUGGCAAAGUUUCUGUCCAGUAUAAAUAUCCUGGUAAUUAUUUAGAGUAGACCCCUCACAAGAGGCCUUCCCAUGUUCAUUAUAGUUGUCAUGAGUUUCCAAAAGAUCUAUAUAUGGGUUUUGCUUGAACACUAAUGGGUGUGUAAACACCUUCUUGUAUUUAUUCAAACUGUACAUUUUUGCACACAGUAGACAUAUUUGUUGAUUAUAGAAUAAUGAACUUCUCUUAAAGGAUUUGUCAAAUUGACAAUAUUUAGAACUUUGUUCAUCCAUUUUCAAUCUCUUGUCUAUAGAAAUGCCUGAAUGAAAAUUUAAUCCAACACUACCUUUGAAAUUGUUCAAAAAGGUAAUUGAACCACUGACUAGAUCCAAUUUUGGCUUUUCCAAAUUUUCUUUGAGAGAAAGUUUAUGUUUUAUAAUUGGAUGUGAAUUAUUAGUUAUAGAAACACGUUGGUCAUUCAAAGUAAGUGGCAAAAAUUCAAAUAUUUUCUGAGAUGUUAUGUGUUCUUUAUCACUUUUGGCAGUAAUAUUUCUAUUGUCUUUAGUUGUCACAUAUUGGUUACGUCCAUUAAAACAUGGAUUCUCCCCUUCAUACUCACCAACAAUUUCCCAGUCUUUUCUUAAGUAUAAAUUGGUAAUGCCACAAUUUCCGUGUCUUUGAUGCAUCACUUUUUGGAAUGAAUGUUUUAUGCCUUGCUGUGAUGAAAAUCCUUGGGUAUAAG